GCAAACUUCAAUCUCAUCAAAACAGUUGAAAGCCUACGUCUGCGAGCAACAAGACACACUCAUUAACAAAACAAUUAUGCAAGUAGUUCAGCGUAGCAACAAGACAAUUACAGAAUAGGUACAUUUUCUGUACACAUCGUCUGAAUGAGGAAAGAAGGGGGGGAGGGCUGUGAACAAAUGGGUCUCAUUGAACAGCAAAUGAAUUCACUUCAGGAAGCCUUAUCCUACCUGCAAAAGGAUGACACCGACAAGCGAUCACACAACGCCAGGCUUUUCCUGCUCGGUAUAACACCCAUGUUGUAGCUGUCAUUCACAAAGAAACAACCAGAAUAUCAGCAGAGCAAUAACUAUGAAAGAAAAAGGGAACUGCUUCGAACAUCACUUGCAAGACCAACCUAAGAAGACAAUCUUUGUAGAUUUUGACUUUUUAUUGUCUCAUGUUCAAACCUUAAAACCAAGAAGCAAAACAUGAACUUGAACACGAUACAUAUUGCCGUUAGAAGAGCGAAGCUUAAAAAUCAAGGACUCGAAAAGGGUGACAUCAAUUUGCUACUAGUUUAAUCAAGAGCAGCCCAAUUACUUUGUUUCCACCAAGAUUAAGAUGCUUAUCGAACAA